rnacentral:rRNA from 1 species
AGAGUUUGAUCAUGGCUCAGGACGAACGCUGGCGGUGUGCUUAACACAUGCAAGUCGAACGGAAAGGCCCUUCGGGGUACUCGAGUGGCGAACGGGUGAGUAACACGUGGGUGAUCUGCCCUGCACUUUGGGUUAAGCCUGGGAAACUGGGUCUAAUACCGAAUAUGACCAUGCGCCUCCUGGUGUGUGGUGGAAAGCUUUUGCGGUGUGGGAUGGGCCCGCGGCCUAUCAGCUUGUUGGUGGGGUAAUGGCCUACCAAGGCGACGACGGGUAGCCGGCCUGAGAGGGUGACCGGCCACACUGGGACUGAGAUACGGCCCAGACUCCUACGGGAGGCAGCAGUGGGGAAUAUUGCACAAUGGGCGCAAGCCUGAUGCAGCGACGCCGCGUGAGGGAUGACGGCCUUCGGGUUGUAAACCUCUUUCAGCACAGACGAAGCGCAAGUGACGGUAUGUGCAGAAGAAGGACCGGCCAACUACGUGCCAGCAGCCGCGGUAAUACGUAGGGUCCGAGCGUUGUCCGGAAUUACUGGGCGUAAAGAGCUCGUAGGUGGUUUGUCGCGUUGUUCGUGAAAACUCACAGCUUAACUGUGGGCGUGCGGGCGAUACGGGCAGACUUGAGUACUGCAGGGGAGACUGGAAUUCCUGGUGUAGCGGUGGAAUGCGCAGAUAUCAGGAGGAACACCGGUGGCGAAGGCGGGUCUCUGGGCAGUAACUGACGCUGAGGAGCGAAAGCGUGGGGAGCGAACAGGAUUAGAUACCCCGGUAGUCC